GAAAUUUUUUGUAAAUAAUUUCAAAAUUAUAUAGAGUAGCCCUCCUAAUUUUUUAAACUAUACAAUAGCCCCCCAAAGAUAUAAUCCUGUAUCUGUCCCGGACUAUUGGUGCAGGUGUGAUGCCGAGGCCGUUGGAGUCCGGAUCCUCUCUAGCCAAAGCCUCCGGCCCUUCCUCCGGUCAAGGGCCACGAUUUGGCCACGUCGCUUAAAUGAAGAUCUACAGCUCAGAUGCAACAAAAAAAAAAGAAAAAAAAAAAGUGAAUUUCUUUCAUUCAACCCAGCAGCAGCAUCCCUCCUAUUCACGAGUCCGUUUUCCCUCCCUCUUCGAAGUUCUUUUUCCCUCCCUCAUUGAAGCUCUGGCGAAGGACGAUUGGCGAAGUCGACGGCAAACAUCGACGAUGAUCGGUGGCGAAUCGAAGUCGGCGGCGAACAUCAACGGUGAAACAAGCUCUGGCGACCCUACGAACCAGAGCUGCACUUCAUCAUCAAACUGAAGGCAAACAAUUUGGCAUAUUGUGGUCAACCAAAAUUUAUGACAAUACUUCAAGGUGGGUAUGACAUUGGGUUUCAAGAUUCUCAAGGCUCACAGACAGGUUCUCGACCAACAAAUAAUUUGCUGCUAUGUACUGAGGGUUUGGAUGUCCGUGAAGAGGUGGAAGGCACUUCAAAUUUCAUGCAUAGGAGAUGCCUCUGAUAUGCAACAACAACACACCAUCUAUUAUGCAUCUAUUAUGUUUUUGUAGUAAAGCUUUGUGGUGACUUCAAAUUUCAUGCUGAAUUUUUGUAGUGACUAUUAUGAAUGAAUUUUAAUUGAGAUGAGAUUUGCAUGAAUGGUGAAACUG